rnacentral:rRNA from 1 species
UACGUAGGUGGCAAGCGUUGUCCGGAAUUAUUGGGCGUAAAGCGCGCGCAGGCGGUCUCUUAAGUCUGAUGUGAAAUCUCGCGGCUCAACCGUGAGCGGGUCAUUGGAAACUGGGGAGACUUGAGUGCAGAAGGAGAAGAGCGGAAUUCCACGUGUAGCGGUGAAAUGCGUAGAGAUGUGGAGGAACACCAGUGGCGAAGGCGGCGUCUUUGGUCGUGUAACUGACGCUGAGGCGCGAAAGCGUGGGGAGCGAACAGG